UAAUUCGUGAGUGGCAAACGUUAUCCGGAAUCACUGGGCGUAAAGCGUCCCUAGGGGGCGAUAUAAGUGCAGUGUUAAAUUCACCAGCUCAACUGGUGGCAUGCGCUGUAUACUGUAUUGCUUGAGGUAUGUAGAGGUGAGCGGAAUUUCCAGAGUAGGGGUAAUAUCCGUAGAUACUGGAAGGAACACCAAUAGCGAAGGCAGCUCACUGGACAUCACCUGACCCUGAAUGACGAAAGCGUGGGGAGCGAACCGGAUUAGAUACCCGGGUAGUCCACGCCCUAAACGAUGGUCACUCGGUAUGUGCGGUCUCGACCCCGUACGUGCCUAAGCUAACGCGUUAAGUGACCCGCCUGGGAAGUACGGCCGCAAGGCUA
rnacentral:rRNA from 1 species